UCAUGUGACCCACCCACCUCAGCCUCCCAAAGUGUUGGGAUUACAGGCAUGAGUCACCACGCCUGGCCUCCAAUGGACUAGUUUUGAAGGAAUCUCAGGAUUUGCAACCUGCUGGAAGGAAUUACUGGUGUCAUUAGAGGCCUCCCUGAAACCCCACGCAAUGACAGCAUGGCACACGCUGACCCCGGCUGAGCUCACAAUGGCAGUUGUUUUGGCUUGGCUUCUGUUUAGAUGGGAAGCAGCUCCCCAUGUCCCUUGGCUGAAGGUUUCUCCUAGAAGUUGACCAGGACCCCUGCAGGGGAUGAACAAAAGCUGACACCUCAUCACCCCAAUUCACACACAGUUAAGCCCCACUGAUCCUGGGAUACAAGUAGAUAAAGGGGGGAAAGGACUACUUUGUUUAACUUCCCAGUAUCCUCUGAUUGACUUAAUGAAAAAAUCCUGAUGUUAAGCUCCCAGAAAAGGGUUUUCAGUGCUGAACUUGAGCUGGGCAUACCACCUACAUCCUGUGUUCUGUGUUCACAAACACAGAACACAUUCGUGUCUCAUCUGUGCCUCAUUUGUCUUUCCCUGCCCUUACUUCCACGUGAGAGCAGCCACUUGUGAUCCUGUCCAUUUAAAACAAUAUGAUCACAGGCCUGGGGCUCCAGAUGCCGGACACAGAAAAGAAAAAGACGUGAUAAAUAACAUUUAAAGCACUGCAAAGUUUGAUUUUCAUGUCUAAUAUCUGCCCCUGGAGAUUCUGCUAAAUUUCUUUUUUCCCUCUUCAUAAAUUCUUAUGAUAACAACUUUAUUUGGGAAUUAAUCCAGAUUCCCAUUAUUCACUGAAUUACACUUUCCCAGCAUGUAAGUUCCUCCCUCGUUGUAAGUUACAAAGCCUUGGAAGCUACAUUAACUCUUUCUGGCUGCUGGGAUGACAGGUAUUGCUAGUCCUCAUGUUUCAGAAUUGUAUCUGAAAAGCAUUAAUGUAGUUUUAAAGGGUUUCCAAAUUAAAACCAGGAUGAAAAUUGACCACUGGGAGAAUCCUAUUUAUACUAUUAUAUUAUGGGGUGCUUUAAAUACACUUCCCUCCAGCCUACUGCCAUUGGCUCUAAUAUAUAGAACGGGCAUGUAUACAGAACGGGCAUCCCUCUUGCAGUAGCAUUGUGGAAGAAUUAAGCACCCACACUCUGAGGUCAAACUGUCCUGGUUGAAAUCUUGACUCCAUCUCUCACUAGCUGUGUGACCUCAGGUAAGUUACCUAACCCCUCUGAGCCUUGGUUUCCUCAUUUGUAAAGUGGAGAAAACAGCACUCACUUGAUGGGGCUGCCAUAAGGAUGAAGUAAUAUGGUGCAAGAGGAGCUGAGACUGCUGCUUGGCAAACAGUGGACAUUUGCUGAGAGCUUGCUGUGCACCAGGCACUGUUCUAACUACUUUACAUGUAUUAAUUCAUUGAACUCGCUCAACAACUUGGAGGUUGGACAUCAUUAUCCCUACUGCAGGCAGUGACCACUCUACAAAUGUUGGUUGCCAUCCGCUGAUCUUGACGCCUACGACGGAUUCGCCUGGUAACUCCAUCCACACUUAAGUUGGGAAAGCACUCCGCCCUGCCUCUAAGUCCGGGGACUCUGGGCAGGGUCCAUUACAUGACCUGGGUCUAAGCCAAUCAGAGCAUCUCACUACCGUCUCCACAGUGAUUGGUCCACGUGGGCACAUGACACUGCCGGGGCUGGGACUCCCCAAAAAGAGAGUCUCCCUUCUUCCUGCUGGACUAGCCUGAGACGAUGCGAGGCUAUCGCUGCCGCAGUACCGGGCGGAGGGCCUGUCUGAGAGGGAGCCAACCUCGAGGAAACUGGGUCAACAAUGGACAACGAGACACCAGCUGUGUGACUUCACGUGAGCCCACGCAGGAAGCCUGCCUGCAGCCGGGACCCUAUCUUGGCCCAUAGCAUCGGGGCUUCUCAGGGAAGCACUGGGGUGUAAGCUUCAGCCCCAAAAUGCAUCCCCACCCUUGUCCCCCUCCAGGCAGAGCAGAGACCACUGGGGCCUGCUUGCUGCUCGGUGGAGCCGAUGUCUUCAAGGCCGGGCUAAUGUCUCACCGGCCUCUCGGUUCCUUCCAGCUCCACUGACAGAAAGAAAGCAGAUUAGAUUACCGGGCGAGGUAAUCCUAAGCUUUAGAGGUUCUUUUGAGGAACCUGCCACAAAGGCCAACCAGAAUCCUUAUUACACAAACCAGCAACUGACCUCCCUUUAGGAGAACAGGGCUCUAUGAUAGGAGCAAUUACAUUUAAAUUCUGCAGUGAGAUUGCUAUUUAACAAAACAGCAAAAUCAUCAAAAUCCUAUAAUUGUAUGCAUAAUGCCACUUUGGCCUACUCACUUUCUGUAAAGAACUUUAUUUUCCCAUCCCAUAAUUAAUAUCAGUAUCAUAUUCCAUUGAAGACCAUCUGUUUUACCAGAGCUAUGUUAUCAAUCAUCUCAAAUUUCAGAACUUCACCCUGGUUUGUCCCCUUGAUAGGGAAGUGAAAACAUUGUAUCAACAGUCAUCUAAGCUGGCAUGUGUGUGAGUGGGCCACAGGAUUUGCUGGUGGAUAUCAGAAAAGUCAUUUAACACAAAGUUCUGCUUAUAGACUAUUGCAAAAUAAGUAGCUCCAAAAGGAAAUUAUUAUGUUUGUAAAAACAUGAGCACUUUCCUCUUCCUUUGGGCAAGGGUACGACGUUUUACUAUCCACCCAAAUUAUGUUCACCAAUGAUUGAACUCUUCAAAGAAUUCAAAUCAUGUGGAUUUGAGCCUUCUGGGAAGGAAAACGAAAUGCACCUUGACUUCACAGGCUGGAGGGCUGGGUGUGACAGGGCCCUCCAGAGAGCCUCGGGACAGAACCUCAGCAGAUGGUGGCAGCUGAAGACACAGGAAUCUCAUCAAAUAACCAGGAAAGAUUAACUACUGGAGAAGAGAAAAGACUGGGAAUCAUCACCAUGCCAGACAGACUUUUCACCUAUUCGUCUGAGGACAGCUCCAAGAGAUGACCUGGGAGACUUUACCUGCAUAAGAAGACAACCUUUGUUCACAGCGUAGUUCUGCCCCUCACCCUCCUGCCACCUGCCCCAGAACUCAGAGGAACUUUGUCCCAGGCUAUUAUCUAUUCUUUGGGCUCACUCAUUUUCCUUAGAAAUCAUUUACUACCCCUCUAAAAUUUCCUACAGUCCCCCACUUCCCUGUCUCCUAUGAAGAGGAUAUAUAAGCCUCAACCAUCUGGCCCUUCUUUGAGUCUCCUAUUUGUAGGACUCCCAUGGCCAUAUGCACCUUAAUAAAUGUGUAAGCCAU
rnacentral:lncRNA from 1 species